rnacentral:rRNA from 1 species
UCUGCGAAAAGCGUCGGUAAGGUGAUAUGAACCGUUACAGCCGGCGAUGUCCGAAUGGGGAAACCCAGUGCAAUUCGUUGCACUAUCGUUAACUGAAUACAUAGGUUAACGAGGCGAACCGGGGGAACUGAAACAUCUAAGUACCCCGAGGAAAAGAAAUCAACCGAGAUUCCCCCAGUAGCGGCGAGCGAACGGGGAGCAGCCCAGAGUCUGAAUCAGCUUGUGUGUUAGUGGAACGGUCUGGAAAGUCAGACGGUACAGGGUGAUAGUCCCGUACACCAAAAUGCACAGGUUGUGAACUCGAAGAGUAGGGCGGGACACGUGGUAUCCUGUCUGAAUAUGGGGGGAC